rnacentral:lncRNA from 1 species
AGCAAUCCAAGCUAAGUCUCAAACCAAAAACAAGCACAACAUAAUCAUCCCAAGAAGCAAAUUAGAUUUUCCAUUUUUUUUUUUACUAUCAAGUAGCUACCAAACCCACGUUUCUUUUAUUUCUUUUUCUUGCUGAUGUAUGUUAUUUUCUCCUCUUUCAUCCCUAUGGUCAAGCAAAAGGACAAAGAACUUUUGAAGAAAUCUACAGGUUUGUCUCUAUUCAAACAACUUUAUUCUUUCCAUUUUCUUCAUAAAAAUCUCUUCUAUUUGCUGUGGUAUUCAUGGUGGACAAUCAAUUCUUUGGUCCUUUGUCAAUUCAAAUUUCAACUGAUGAAUUUAUCUUCUCUGUUCAAAAUUCAAUCGGCUAUUGUCUCUCCAUCUUUCUGCGAUUUCAAACGGUCUACUUUGACUAAGAUUCAAAAUAAAAAAUCAAAUUCGCUCUUAGAAUCCUGCUCAAAAUCAUAAGAACCCUAGGUUCUGCUUAUAAAUAGCGGUAUUGGAGAGGAUUGAGGACAGGUUUUUGAGCCGCUGUUCACCCCUCUCACAGACGCCUCCUUUUUCUCAAAUACCACUAGUCCCAAACUCUUUGAAACCCAAGGUUUCUUCAAAUUUCUUUUUCGUUCUGCUCGUAUUUUGAAGCAUAGAAGAGCAGAAACCUUCUUCGUUUUUGCUCGCCGAAGUUUAAGCCAGUUCGCUGACCCAAGAUUCUUGCCCUCAGUUCACUGCACCAAAGCAGGUCAGUGUCUUCUAUUUUCUUUUCGAUUCCGUAAACUUAAGACGAAUUCGUGUUUCUGUGUGCAUUGUUGUUGUGCCGUUAGUUCCUCUUUCGUUUUCUUCAGAUGUUCUAGAUAUCACUUCAGUUUAGAAGUUAACUUUAACUUUUGCUCACAAAAUGUAGAAAUCAUGUCAAUAGAAAGUUACCGUUGCUCCAUUCUUAAAAUUGCUAUUGUCUAACUUGUGUAAGGAGGGAUAUUCUUGUUAGUUUCAUGUCUGGAAAGAAAAUUACACGAAGGUUAGAUUUUAAGUCUUUUAUAUUAACACUAUAUCGUAGGAAUAAAUUCGUUACAAUGAGGAAUUCUAUGAAUGUUUGAAAAUUUAGUUCCUCACUCUCAAUUUGGCAGAAUAUACUUACUUAUUGCGGCUUUUGUUUAAAGAGAAGAAGUGUUUGAAUCUUUGUUAAAAUCUAAAAAAAGAAAAGAUAUUCUCUAAGCCACUUUGCGAGCAGCAUCUUUUGUUUGUGUCACUUUCUUAUGAGCCUACAUGGGUUUUGAGUAAUUGGUCUUAUGAGCGCGUGAUAAAUCGAAAGAGUCAAACAACUACUGCUUUCAUGUAGUAAUUAGGGAGAUAUUGGUCCAUGUUCAUUAUUCAACUUGUUCGUAUUCAAAAGGGAUGUCAUUUAGAGUAUUCUAAUCUUUAGCUUUCAAAAUAUAAAAGCUUAAGUUUAGGUUCUAAUUCCAAAACAGUUAACUAUCUUAGUAUGGUUUAAUUCUCUUGUAAUAAAAAUUGUUUGUUGCAAGCUGAUAGUGUAUUUUGCUCUCUUGUCUCUUUCCAAGUUUCAUAUCUUUUGAGAGCAAAACCCUUUUCUGAUUCUAUUUCUCUACUUAGUUGUAUGUGCACUUGGAGCAAAAUUUGGAGUCUUAAUGCAAGAUUCACCACCAUACCGAGCAUGGAGUCAAUACACAACCUCUUAUACCUUAGAUGCACUAGAUAGCAAGAAAACAAGUGCAUCACUUGGGUCGCCUAUGACGACUUUUAUUUUGACUAUGUGAUUUAUUUUAUUUGAACAUGUGAUUGAUGAUUAAUUUUAUCAUUUAAAAUUACAACAUUAGUUUUGACAUAGUAUUUUAUUGGAAAAGGGAACUAAAAGGAUAUAAUGUGUUAAGAGCUUUGGGGAGAUGGUUACCAAUUGAGUCUUUAUUUUUUUAAAAUUUUGAGAAAAGUACUUUUAUAAACUAAGACAUAAUUUGAACAUAUUUUCAAAUCAAUUGACUUUUCACUCAAAAGUACGUCUUCUUCACGAUGAUAAAUUUGAGUUGAAUAUUUAACCAAAUUACUUCGAAACUUUGAUCCAUUUCCUGAGUAAAAAGACUGUUUUUCUCAAGUUAGUUUUAAUAAAAUUUCAAUCCAACAUGUAACGAAUUCUGUGAAACUUAAAGCAUAUUUUGCUAAUUCUAGAUAUUUAGAUUCGGAUUUGAAAUGUGAUUUCUUUUAAAAGACCCCUAGUCCAUCGAGAUUCUUUCUGGAAUCACUUUUUAGCACCUAACUUUGGCCGGUUAACUGUAAUUAGCGGAUCAUAUAGAGUGCUUUAACAAUCUUUCCAUAAGAUUAAUUAGAACCCUUACCUAGAAUUUUAAGGUUAAGCAGACAAUAAAAUAAAGUUAAUUUUAAGUAUUAUUUAGCUAAAAUUGGUGUCCUAAUUCACCGUUAAAAUAAUUAGGUGGCGACUCUAAUUAAACCUUCAGAAUUACCAAUAUGUUAUUCUCUAGACCCGUGUUAAAAUGGGGUAUAACACCAUCGAGACUUUGUUUGAUCUGCAGCCCCAAGAAAAAGUUAAGUUCACCCAUCAUACUCCUUUCAAACUCACUUCUCAUUAGUUUAGCAAAGUCCUUACUCAACCUAUUUGUAGUUGCCCCAAAUAUUAUAUCAUCAAUAUAUAUUUGUACAACAAGAAGAUCUUUACCUUUUUCCCUUUGGAACAAAGUGCUAUCAAUUUUACCUCUUUUGUACCCAUGCUCCAG